GUCUCCGUGGUUUAGAUGGGAGAACACCCGAAUUUGGUGCGGUAGGAUUCGGGUUCGAGCCCCAAUGAAGACA